GACGAACGCUGGCGGCGUGCUUAACACAUGCAAGUCGAGCGGUAAGGCCCUUUCGGGGUACACGAGCGGCGAACGGGUGAGUAACACGUGGGUGACCUGCCCGUUAGCUCUGGGAUAAGCCUGGGAAACUGGGUCUAAUACCGGAUAUGACCUCAUGACGCAUGUUGUGGGGUGGAAAGCCUUGUGCGGCUAGGGAUGGGCCCGUGGCCUAUCAGCUUGUUGGUGGGGUGAUGGCCUACCAAGGCGACGACGGGUAGCCGGCCUGAGAGGAUGAUCAGCCUCACUGGGACUGAGA
rnacentral:rRNA from 1 species